GACGAACGCUGGCGGCGUGCUUAACACAUGCAAGUCGAACGGAAAGGCCCUGCUUGCAGGGUACUCGAGUGGCGAACGGGUGAGUAACACGUGGGUGAUCUGCCCUGCACUUCGGGAUAAGCCUGGGAAACUGGGUCUAAUACCGGAUAGGAGCCAUUUUUAGUGUGAUGGUUGGAAAGUUUUUUCGGUGUAGGACGAGCUCGCGGCCUAUCAGCUUGUUGGUGGGGUAAUGGCCUACCAAGGCGGCGACGGGUAGCCGGCCUGAGAGGGUGGACGGCCACAUUGGGACUGAGAUACGGCCCAGACUCCUACGGGAGGCAGCAGUGGGGAAUAUUGCACAAUGGGCGCAAGCCCGAUGCAGCGACGCCGCGUGGGGGAUGACGGCCUUCGGGUUGUAAACUCCUUUCGCUAGGGACGAAGCUUUUUGUGACGGUACCUAGAUAAGAAGCACCGGCUAACUACGUG
rnacentral:rRNA from 1 species